rnacentral:lncRNA from 1 species
CUGAAACCCAGAGACCCCCCAGAAGCCCUUGGUUCAGCUACAAGGACGAUCGCGGUGAGCAUUUUCUCUGCUGCACUACUCUCACCCUUCUUCUGUUUCUUCCAUUCUGUAAUAUGGUGUUUGUUUGGUUCUGGGGUUGUACUAGUUCUUUAAAGAUCUGAGUGUUCUGAAGCUUUGUUGUUCUUGAUCGAAUGUUGGGUUUUAUGGGUUGCUUUUUUGUUCUUGAUCGAAUGUUGGGUUUUAUGGGUUGCUGUUGAUAUUGCUGUUGACACUCAAGAAAAUUGUUGGAAGUGAGGUUGACAUUUCCCAGUGAUGUAGUGCCGGUAGAGAAGUAUACAGUACAUAAUACAUGAUUGUGUUUAGCAUAAUCAUUUUACAUCCUAAUUCUCAUAGCUCAGCUGUCUUCAUUUUUUUUCUUUCCUCAAGUUUGCUAGAAACGAAUUAGCAAUGGUGUUUUCCGUGAUUGGAUUAGACUGAAGCACUGCAUUAUGCAAUCUUCUAAUAUGUAUAAGCUAAUAUUAUUUCUCGAACAGUAGGGUUUGAAACCCUGUAUAGUGUAUACCAUUUACAGUCAUUGACAGUAUGAUUUACUAGCCACCAUCAAAGUGUUCGUCAUAAGUCAUCUGGAUGCAUAAUAAUGAAUCUAGAUAUGUGCAGAAAAUGCUGUUGAUAUUGCUGUUGAUAGUAUGUAUAUUUUCUGUUUGCUAUUUUGGUUUGUUUUUCUACUGGGAGUUGCCUGAUCACAUAAUUUAGUGCUCCAAAAACACUUCUUUCAUUGUCUAUCAUCAGUUUUUAGUGUUGCUGUAACCCCAUCAUAAUCUUUUGGACUGGUUUUGAAACAAUAAUUUUUCGUCCCUGAGAUUUUCAGAUGCCAUUUUUAAUCUCGUGAUGUGCUCACAAUUCCCAUUUCUACCAUUGCAUCUGAAUCGGCCUUUAGCAUUGGCGGGAGAGUUUUAGAUCAAUACCGCAGCUCACUGUUGCCUGACACAGUU